UGCACGAAUCAGCUUAAUGCCUCGCGCGUCCAGUCUUGCCGUCAUCAAAACACGUCGCUGUCACAUCACAGACAUGACAGAUGAUCCGUGUUGCUUCACUACAAGCCAUCAAGAAGCAGCCGGCCUUCGAAAAGCAAAAUGCAAAUUCUUUGAAAAAGAAAGGAUGGACAUGAAAUGCCUCCAGACCAUUGAACCCCAUAACUCCAAUGACAUAUGAAGGUUUGAAUGGUUUUGGAAAAAAGUGGGGGGGUAACAAUUGAUAUAGGAACCCCCAACUUGGACAAGUGGAAGGGACAUGGCCCCCCGUCCCCACCGAUUGACGCCCAUAUUAGGACAUACUGGUAUAUUGUACGCGUAUGUGCAAGUUCACGUUCCACUGCUACAAAACCUGUACUGUUUGUACUUACAUAUCUCCAAAUUUCAAAUUAAUGUCUUUGGAUGAUUGCUCAGAUAUGUACAUGCACAUGUAUUGUAUGUACAUGCAUACAUAUACAUUAGGUUUGUAGGACUAUUUCAGGCAAAAAUACAGAUAUUCAGACAAACAUAUAUAAUAUAGACAAAAACAAUAAUUUGUUGCGUAUUUUAUUAAAAAAUUGGGGUGGGUAGGCAAACGUAGCCAAAAUUAUUUUAAUAAGAAUGUCUUAUAAGCUGUUCAAUUUUUAUUCUUAGAAAUGGUCAUUUUAGGCAGACCCUCAUCGUAGUUAGGGGGCUUUAGGGCAGUCUGUUUGGAAUAUAUCAAAUAUUUGAAUAUUCAGUCAUCAACCAAAUAUUCAGAGUGCUUUUUACCAGUUUGAGUAUUCAUAAAGAAUAAAGAAUGUUCAAUUUCGAAAACUAUUUGCCACUCUGAUUUCUUGGUACAUGUAUAUAGUGGCAAGAUACAAGUGCAAUUGGGACCUCCAUGUGCCCUGUGCUUUUAUAGGAGAGGUAUUUUAAUAUGCAGCCGUUUGAAUUAACCCACACCUGGCCUACUACCCACGCAUAAAAAAGUAACUUCUAUACCAAAUUUGCUUGUAACCUUUAAAAAGAAUAUCAUUUUCCUUGACUACAUGUACAUGUAUACUGCACUAUCAGAUGCUUCAUCUUGUCAAUGGCAAUUUUUUCCAUUCAUUAUCAUUUCAUUAUUCCCAUCCUUAUGGUUAGUUUAUAAACUGAAGCCCUUGAUCCACAAAUUUUGAAUAUUCACAUACACAGUCAAACACAGUUUCAAAUGUUCAUUACCAAAUUAUUCAAAAAUGAAAAGCCCCAAGGGCCUCUCUAUUUUUCUUUUUUUUAAAUGCAUAUGGGAUCGAUACACUCUACCUAUGAGGAAAUAGUGUUCAAACAACAGUGGCCCAUUUCAUCAAGAAAUUAAAAAACUUAAAAUUCUCAUUCCUUUUGUAAAGGGAGCUCUCUUAAGCUUUAUUGACAUGUAAAUCUGAAAAUAUGUCUAUGCAUCUUGUAAAUACAUGUAAUACAGUAUUGUUAGAGUUUAGCAUAAACAUAUUUCAUGAUGGACACAUUUUGUUAGCUUAUGUAGGUGUUGUGGUUUCCUCAGCAAUCUCAGAACUUCAGGUUUUUUUGAGAACUUUGUUGCCAUAUGUAUAUUUGAACUAGGCAUACUUUUCCAUGUGUUUUGUACCUGUGUACAUUUAGACGCUAAUUCUGAAGUCACAUGUCUUGCUUUGAUUAGUUAAUACUUAUUUUUUAAAUCACUUCAAAAAAUCACAAAUCAUUUGAAAAUUCAUGCUUAAGAAACCUUAAAAUUCCGUUUGGUAUUUGAAAGAAAGGAAUGGCUGAAUUCAAUAUACUGAUGCCUUUAAAACAUUUCCACACAACCAGCAUUGGGUCAUUUUGUGUAAAAUGUUACUCUUUACACUUACUUGACAUUUAUAUGUACAUGUGUACCUGAUGUACACCACUGUCCCAUUUUGUAUGACAGCAUGUAGGCCCAUGUACAUGCAUGUAUGGAAUUCAGUAGCCAUUGUGUUUACAUGCAUUUAGAUAAAACAGUAUUGCCAAAUACACCGGUAUCAUAGAAGGCAGUAUGGAGGGAUCCCAAUACGACGCUUUUAGCGUCAAUUUUCGCAUUUCCGCAUUUGAAAA